GCCCCCAUAGCUUAACCCCAAAGCAUGGCACUGAAGAUGCCAAGAUGGUACAAAUCCGCCUGCGGGCA
rnacentral:tRNA from 1 species